AAAAAGUGAAGAAGAGUACCUAAUCGGGAUUUUGGAUUUUCCAGAAUCCGGUGAACAUUCUGGUGAGGGAUGUGUUUUCCUGCAAGGUAUUCCCAAAUUCUGGCAACCUGCAAAUUUCUCAAACGGCUCCAAAUUUCAUAGUAAAUUCGUUUUUCAAUCCUUUUUGCUUUUUUCUGCUUCUGUUUUCUACUUCUAUUCCUUCUUCUUCUCAAAUCAAUUAACACUAUGGUUGACUCGUGAACUUUCUGUUUUUUAUUUGGAGGUCCAGCUCAAGGAAAAUGUAGAAGUAAAGGGGUGGUGACCUGAAGCAGUGAAGAAACGCUUCAAUGGUGGUGGAAAUCGCAGAUGGAUGUGACUCGGUUACUCAAAGUUUCUUCAUCAUAAAGAAGCUUUGUUUUCAGUUCUCUUUUCUUAUUUUGGUAAAAUUUGUGGUUGUAAAUUAUGUAUUAUCUCUUAGGCUUUAUAGUGCAAGAUUUUGUUAGAACUUCAAGUGCGUGGAGUAUGUACAGUGUGUGAGAUUUUUGGUGAGAAUUGAGAAAAAAUCAUUUGAAGUCUGUUGCAAAUGUGUGUGGAUUAGGAUGACGGAUUUGUGUGUCUAUAUAUGAGAGAGAGAGAGAGGAUUAUGUGGGAUUUGGAUAAGAAUAGUGUGAGGAGUGAGGAGAAAUUCGUGUGAGUUUGUUGUAAAUUUGUGUGAAUGUGUGAAGGCGAUGAAAGAGAGAUCAUUAUGAGCAUGUGAAGGUGGGAUUCCCUAGUCUAAACCAUGUGAAUUAAUUUGUUGUAAAAUUCAUGUGUAAUAGUGAUAUAUGUACAUGAUGGAAUGAAAUGUUUCAUUGACUUUUAUUUAACUUUUGGUGUACGUAUGUGACAAAUGGUAUGAUGUAAUGUAUUAUGUAUGUGACAAUCAAUAAAAUGUAAUAUUUUGUA
rnacentral:lncRNA from 1 species